rnacentral:rRNA from 1 species
UACGUAGGGGGCGAGCGUUGUCCGGAAUUACUGGGCGUAAAGGGCGCGUAGGUGGUUGCUUAAGUUAGGCGUGAAAGCCCCGGGCUUAACCUGGGGAUAGCGCUUAAGACUGGGUGACUUGAGUGCAGGAGAGGGGAGCGGAAUUCCUGGUGUAGCGGUGAAAUGCGUAGAGAUCAGGAGGAACACCAGUGGCGAAGGCGGCUUUCUGGACUGUAACUGACACUGAGGCGCGAAAGCUAGGGGAGCAAACGGGAUUAGAUACCCUGGUAGUCCUAGCCGUAAACGAUGGGUACUAGGUGUAGGAGGUAUCGAACCCUUCUGUGCCGCAGUUAACACAAUAAGUACCCCGCCUGGGGAGUACGGCCGCAAGGUUGAA